CUCCUGGAAACGGGUGGUAAUGCCGGAUGCUCCGCCCCCUCGCAUGGGGGGUCGGGAAGGCUUUUGCGGAAUGGGAUGGGGUCGCGUCCUAUCAGCUUGUUGGCGGGGCGACGGCCCACCAAGGCUUCGACGGGUAGCCGGCCUGAGAGGGCGACCGGCCACAUUGGGACUGAGAUACGGCCCAGACUCCUACGGGAGGCAGCAGUGGGGAAUAUUGCACAAUGGGGGGAACCCUGAUGCAGCGACGCCGCGUGCGGGAUGGGGGCCUUCGGGUCGUGAACCGCUUUUGAUUGGGAGCAAGCGUGAGUGAGUGUACCUUUCGAAUAAGCACCGGCUAACUACGUGCCAGCAGCCGUGGUAAUACGUAGGGUGCAAGCGUUGUCCGGAAUCAUUGGGCGUAAAGGGCUCGUAGGCGGUUCGUCGCGUCCGGUGUGAAAGCCCAUCGCUUAACGGUGGGUCUGCGCCGGGUACGGGCGGGCUUGAGUGCGGCAGGGGAGGCUGGAAUUCCCGGUGUAACGGUGGAAUGUGUAGAUAUCGGGAAGAACACC
rnacentral:rRNA from 1 species